GGGCCCUACGGGGGGCAGCAGUGAGGAAUAUUGGUCAAUGGGAGAGAUCCUGAACCAGCCAAGCCGCGUGAGGGAAGACGGCCCUAUGGGUUGUAAACCUCUUUUGUCGGAGAACAACACCCGGGACGUGUCCCGGACUGCGUGUAUCCGAAGAAAAAGCAUCGGCUCACUCCGUGCCAGCAGCCGCGGUAAUACGGAGGAUGCGAGCGUUAUCCGGAUUUAUUGGUUUUAAAGUGUGCGUAGGCGUUCCGUUACGUCCGCGUUAAAAUUG
rnacentral:rRNA from 1 species